GUGUUAUUCUAGGGUUAUAUUGUGAUCUCAUCCAGUACAGCCAGUGUUAUUCUAGGGUUAUAUUGUGAUCUCAUCCAGUACAGCCAGUGUUAUUCUAGGGUUAUAUUGUGAUCUCAUCCAGUACAGCCAGUGUUAUUCUAGGGUUAUAUUGUGAUGUUAUACAGUACAGCCAGUGUUAUUCUAGGGUUAUAUUGUGAUGUUAUACAGUACAGCCAGUGUUAUUCUAGGGUUAUAUUGUGAUCUCAUCCAGUACAGCCAGUGUUAUUCUAGGGUUAUAUUGUGAUCUCAUCCAGUACAGCCAGUGUUAUUCUAGGGUUAUAUUGUGAUCUCAUCCAGUACAGCCAGUGUUAUUCUAGGGUUAUAUUGUGAUGUUAUACAGUACAGCCAGUGUUAUUCUAGGGUUAUAUUGUGAUCUCAUCCAGUACAGCCAGUGUUAUUCUAGGGUUAUAUUGUGAUGUUAUACAGUACAGCCAGU